UACGUAGGGUGCAAGCGUUGUCCGGAAUUAUUGGGCGUAAAGAGCUCGUAGGCGGUUUGUCGCGUCUGCUGUGAAAACCCGAGGCUCAACCUCGGGCCUGCAGUGGGUACGGGCAGACUAGAGUGCGGUAGGGGAGAUCGGAAUUCCUGGUGUAGCGGUGGAAUGCGCAGAUAUCAGGAGGAACACCGAUGGCGAAGGCAGAUCUCUGGGCCGACACUGACACUGAGAGACGAAAGGCUAGGGGAGCGAAUGGG
rnacentral:rRNA from 1 species